GUGGGGAAUAUUGGACAAUGGGCGCAAGCCUGAUCCAGCAAUGCCGCGUGCAGGAAGAAGGCCUUCGGGUUGUAAACUGCUUUUGUACGGAACGAAACGGUCCUGGUUAAUACCUGGGGCUAAUGACGGUACCGUAAGAAUAAGCACCGGCUAACUACGUGCCAGCAGCCGCGGUAAUACGUAGGGUGCGAGCGUUAAUCGGAAUUACUGGGCGUAAAGCGUGCGCAGGCGGUGCUGUAAGACAGGCGUGAAAUCCCCGGGCUCAACCUGGGAAUUGCGCUUGUGACUGCAGUGCUGGAGUACGGCAGAGGGGGAUGGAAUUCCGCGUGUAGCAGUGAAAUGCGUAGAUAUGCGGAGGAACACCGAUGGCGAAGGCAGUCCCCUGGGCCUGUACUGACGCUCAUGCACGAAAGCGUGGGGAGCAAACAGGAUUAGAUACCCCAGUAGUCC
rnacentral:rRNA from 1 species